GAGUUUGAUCCUGGCUCAGAACGAACGCUGGCGGCGUGCUUAACACAUGCAAGUCGAACGCGAAAGGUUUCUUCGGAGACCGAGUAGAGUGGCGCACGGGUGAGUAACGCGUAAGUAAUCUACCCUGGUAUCCGGAAUAACCCACCGAAAGGUGUGCUAAUACCGGAUACGCUGAUGUAUCAGGAAAGAUGGCCUCUUCUUGAAAGCUAUCGUACCAGGAGGAGCUUGCGUACCAUUAGCUAGUUGGUAGGGUAAUGGCCUACCAAGGCGACGAUGGUUAGCGGGUCUGAGAGGAUGAUCCGCCACACUGGAACUGGAACACGGACCAGACUCCUACGGGAGGCAGCAGUGAGGAAUAUUGCGCAAUGGGGGAAACCCUGACGCAGCGACGCCGCGUGGAUGAUGAAGGCCUUCGGGUCGUAAAAUCCUGUCAGAUGGGAAGAAGUGUUAUAUGUUUAACAGACAUGUAAUUUGACGGUACCAUCAAAGGAAGCACCGGCUAACUCCGUGCCAGCAGCCGCGGUAAUACGGAGGGUGCAAGCGUUGUUCGGAAUUACUGGGCGUAAAGCGCGCGUAGGCGGCGUGUUAAGUCAGAUGUGAAAGUCCACGGCUCAACCGUGGAAGUGCAUUUGAAACUGGCAUGCUUGAGUACUGGAGGGGGUAGUGGAAUUCCCGGUGUAGAGGUGAAAUUCGUAGAUAUCGGGAGGAAUACCGGUGGCGAAGGCGACUACCUGGCCAGAUACUGACGCUGAGGUGCGAAAGCGUGGGGAGCAAACAGGAUUAGAUACCCUGGUAGUCCACGCCGUANACGAUGUGAACU
rnacentral:rRNA from 1 species